GCCCAGACUCCUACGGGAGGCAGCAGUGGGGAAUAUUGGGCAAUGGGCGCAAGCCUGACCCAGCAACGCCGCGUGAAGGAAGAAGGCUUUCGGGUUGUAAACUUCUUUUGUCAGGGACGAAGCAAGUGACGGUACCUGACGAAUAAGCCACGGCUAACUACGUGCCAGCAGCCGCGGUAAUACGUAGGCGGCCAGCGUUAUCCGGAUUUACUGGGUGUAAAGGGGGUGUAGGCGGGACUGCAAGUCAGAUGUGAAAUCCACGGGCUCAACCUGGGGCCUGCAUUUGAAACUGUAGUCCUUGAGUGCUGGAGAGGCAGACGGAAUUCCUAGUGUAGCGGUGAAAUGCGUAGAUAUUAGGAGGAACACCAGUGGCGAAGGCGGUCUGCUGGACAGCAACUGACGCUGAGGCGCGAAAGCGUGGGGAGCAAACAGGAUUAGAUACCCCUGUA
rnacentral:rRNA from 1 species